GGGCUCCCGGCGGCCGGCUGAUAGGAGGCUGAGGCGGCUCUGUGGAGACUCGGCCCGUGGUCGGUCCAGGGAAAUAAUUGUGUUUAAUAACCAUAGGAGUCUUGUGUCUCGGAUAGCAGUUCACUGAUUUUCAACAUAAAUCUGCAUCUGAUUAAAUAAGCUUAAGAUUCAAGGAUUUGUAGAAGAGCAAAAGAAUCUUUUGUGAUCAAAAUCUGUGUUGCCUUGUUCCAUGGGUUUGCCUUGCUCCAUGAGAGAAGUAACUCAAAAACAAGAGAGACGUAGGAUAAAAUACGAUUACGACUAGAAGCUGAUUUCUUAGAUAACGCUGGCUUCAAUUAAAAAAAUUUAAGAAACAGUUUCAGGACUGAGGCAAAUAACAAUGAAAUUCGAUUUUUAUUAUGCCAGAUUCUAAAUAAGUUCUUGGGAAAUAUGCUGGAAAAUGCCAAGACUGAUAAUAUUUUGUAUAUAAAAUUAAUGAAGCCCUCCUUUUUAUACUGAAAGAUAAAAUUCCAAAUAUGAGAAUAUAGGCAAUCCUGGCUCUUUCGAGACUUAAGACCUCUAGGUAUGACUACCGCAUGGUUAAAGGAUGCAACUGAGGAACAUCGAAGAGGAAGAGAUAGAUGUGGCAAAAUAUGAGGAGCAGGGAGUGUGGAGCAUCCAUGGCCUGUCUGGGAAACCACUAUCCUGAAUUUUGUUACUCAUUGUUACUCAUUACCUUGCUUUUCUUUAGAGUUUACUUUAUUAUAAGGCUACCUAGAUGUAUCCCAAAAAUAUGCAAUGUAUCUUUGCCUUUUUUACCUUCAUAUAAAUGGAGUUAUAUUGCAUGUAUACUUUUGUAACUAAUUUUUUUCCAUUUAACAGUUUCUAAGAGUAAUGCAAAUUUAUGCAUGUAGCCAUAGUUCAUUCUUUUUCACUAGUAUAUAGUAUUUUCUUUUAGAAAUACAGCACACUAGAGUUAUCCAUUAUCUGUUUACUAUUGUCAGCUCAACUGUUAUCAGUAUUUUCAGAUGUGUGCAAAAGUUUCUCUGGCUAAUAUGCCUAGAGGUAGUGUUAUGGACUGAAUUGUGUUUCCUCAAAAUUCAUAUGUUGAGUCCCUAACUCUCAAUACCUCAGAAUGUGACUGCAUUUGGAGAUAGGGCCUUUAAAGAAGUAAUUAAGUUAAAAUGAGGCCUGUAGGGGAAGCAGUAAUCCAAUCUGACUGGUGUCUUUAUAAGAAGAGGAAAUUAGGAUAUACAGAGACACACUGCACGUGUACAUGCAAAGAGGGAAGGCUGUGUGAGGAUGUCUGCAAGAGGACAUCUGCAAGCCAAGGGGAGGGGCCUCAGAAGAAACCAAGCCUGCCCACACCUUGCUCCUGGACUUCUGGCCUCCAAAACAGAAAAUAAAUUUCUGUUGUUUAAGUGACCCAGUCUACAGUAUUUUUGUUAUGGCAGCCCUAUCAGACUAAUAACAGUUAGAAUUGCUAGAUGGUAGAAUUAUGCACAUGUUCAACUUAAUUAGUAUUGCUGAUAUUUUUCUAAAGUGCUUGGGUCAAUUUACAAUCCUACUGGCAGUGUAUGAGAAAUCUUGUUCUACAUCCUUGCGCAAACCUGAUACUGUAAGACUUGACUUUUUCCAGUCUGGUUGGAGAGGAGUGGAAUCUUGUCAUUUUAGUUGCAUUUUCCUGAUAACUGAGAGUUAAAUAACUUUAUAUGUUUCUUGUUUCUAUAUCAAUAAAAUGACUAUUAUAUCUUUGUCUACUUUUCUACUGUGCUAUUUGUUUUUUUCUUACUGAUGGGUAGGAGUUAACUUUAAUGAAAGUAAGAUUUAUCCUUCAAUGGCCUGUCCUCUUUUAUGUCUAUUUAAGCAGUUCUUCCAAGCCGCUAUAGUGAAAGAAGGUAUACUCAUAUUUUUUUCUGAAUGUUUUACAUUUAAAUCCUUAAUCUACCUGGAGUUGAUUUUUUUUAAUGUUUGGUUUGAGGUAGAUGAAUAAUUUCAUUUUCCCAUAUUAAUAACAGUUGUCCCAGGCUAUUUUUUGAAUACUCUUUUUUUUCCCUAG
rnacentral:lncRNA from 1 species